GAUGAACGCUGGCGGCGUGCUUAACACAUGCAAGUCGAACGGAAAGGCCCAAGCUUGCUUGGGUACUCGAGUGGCGAACGGGUGAGUAACACGUGGGUGAUCUGCCCUGCACUUCGGGAUAAGCCUGGGAAACUGGGUCUAAUACCGGAUAGGACGAUGGUUUGGAUGCCAUUGUGGAAAGUUUUUUCGGUGUGGGAUGAGCUCGCGGCCUAUCAGCUUGUUGGUGGGGUAAUGGCCUACCAAGGCGUCGACGGGUAGCCGGCCUGAGAGGGUGUACGGCCACAUUGGGACUGAGAGACGGCCCAGACUCCUACGGGAGGGAGCAGUGGGGAAGAUUGCACAAUGGGCGCAAGCCUGAUGCAGCGACGCCGCGUGGGGGAUGACGGCCUUCGGGUUGUAAACACCUUUCGCUAGGGACGAAGCGUUUUUGUGACGGUACCUGGAGAAGAAGCACCGGCUAACUACGUG
rnacentral:rRNA from 1 species